rnacentral:rRNA from 1 species
ACUUGGAUAACCGUGGUAAUUCUAGAGCUAAUACAUGCUGAAAAUCCCGACUUCGGAAGGGAUGUAUUUAUUAGAUUAAAAACCAAUGCCCCUCGGGGCUCUCUGGUGAAUCAUAAUAACUAGUCGAAUCGACAGGCCUUGUGCCGGCGAUGGCUCAUUCAAAUUUCUUCCCUAUCAACUUUCGAUGUUUGGGUAUUGGCCAAACAUGGUGGCAACGGGUAACGGAGGGUUAGGGCUCGACCCCGGAGAAGGAGCCUGAGAAACGGCUACUACAUCCAAGGAAGGCAGCAGGCGCGCAAAUUACCCAAUCCCGACACGGGGAGGUAGUGACAAUAAAUACUGAUACAGGGCUCUUUUGGGUCUUGUAAUCGGAAUGAGUACAAUUUAAAUCCCUUAACGAGGAACAAUUGGAGGGCAAGUCUGGUGCCAGCAGCCGCGGUAAUUCCAGCUCCAAUAGCGUAUAUUAAAGUUGUUGUGGUUAAAAAGCUCGUAGUUGAACCUUGGGCCUGGCUGGCCGGUCCGCCUCACCGCGUGCACUGGUCCGGCCGGGCCUUUCCCUCUGCGGAACCCCAUGCCCUUCACUGGGUGUGGCGGGGAAACAGGACUUUUACUUUGAAAAAAUUAGAGUGCUCAAGGCAGGCCUAUGCUCGAAUACAUUAGCAUGGAAUAAUAGAAUAGGACGUGUGGUUCUAUUUUGUUGGUUUCUAGGACCGCCGUAAUGAUUAAUAGGGACAGUCGGGGGGCAUCAGUAUUCAAUUGUCAGAGGUGAAAUUCUUGGAUUUAUUGAAGACUAACUACUGCGAAAGCAUUUGCCAAGGAUGUUUUCAUUAAUCAGGAACGAAAGUUAGGGGAUCGAAGACGAUCAGAUACCGUCGUAGUCUUAACCAUAAACUAUGCCGACUAGGGAUCGGACGAUGUUACAUUUUU